ACCUCUUUGAUAUUGAUAUUCCUGGUAAAAUAACUUUUAUGGCAUCUAAGACCCUCACUGCCGGGCAGACUCCUACCAUUGUGGACAUUGAGGUUGGAUGAAUUGGUAUAGGCAUUUGUUAUGAUAUUCGCUUUCAGGAGCUAGCUACGUUAUAUGCAGCAAGAGGUGUUCACUUGAUCUGCUAUCCUGGUGCGUUUAACAUGAGUCUACUGGACCACUCCACUGGGAGUUACUGCAGAGAGCAAGGUAAAUAUGACAUUUUUCAUUUAAAGAUGUUCCCCUCUUAAUUGCAACUGUACUAUUGCACAUUGCCAAGUUCUCUGUUUUGCAACGCAUAAUAUAUUGUGAUGUUAGUUGUUUUAUGCCAUUUAUACAACCCCUCUACUCAGUGGUAUUACAUAUAUUUUCUUGCUGAUGACUGUUUUCUAAAUUCUUAUUGCAGGGCUGUAGAUAAUCAGUUGUUUGUAGCAACAUGUUCACCCGCUCGAGAUGCUGGUGCAGGAUAUGUGGCUUGGGGCCAUUCCACACU